UUCUGGUUGAUCCUGCCGGAGGUCACUGCUAUUGGGAUUCGACUAAGCCAUGCGAGUCGAGAGGGUUCGGCCCUCGGCUGACGGCUCAGUAACACGUGGAUAAUCUACCCUAAGGUGGAGGAUAACCUCGGGAAACUGAGAAUAAUACUCCAUAAGUCUAGGAUACUGGAAUGUACUUAGGCUGAAAACUUCGGUGCCCUAGGAUGAGUCUGCGGACUAUCAGGUUGUAGUCAGGGUAAAGACCUGACUAGCCUACAACGGAUACGGGUUGUGAGAGCAAUAACCCGGAGAUGAUAUCUGAGACACGAUAUCAGGCCCUACGGGGCGCAGCAGGCGCGAAAACUUCACACUGCGCGAAAGCGCGAUGAGGGAAUCCCAAGUGCUUGCACGUAAGUGUAAG
rnacentral:rRNA from 1 species